CAACUCUAUUAGGAGAGGGGGAAUAAGAUAUAUCCGGUAUUAAAAAGGAAAGGAAGCAAUUGGAGGUUAAAAAGAAGAAGAGAAGGCGGCUAAAUAUAGAAAUGAGUAAUAAUAAUAAUAAUAGUUGUAUUGUGGGGGUUGCGUAAAUAAAUAGAAGGGAUAGGAUAUAAAAAGGGGUCACGUGUCGGUGGGUUGAUUGAUGAAUAAUACUACUAGUACAAAGUUAAGGUUGAGUUCAUUUUGUGUCUGAAAAAGAAAAGAAGAAACUGGCAGUGGCAGUGGCAGGGUUGAAGAUCAGAUGCAGUUUUAGAAGACGAGGCAGCCGCAGCAAAAACAAAGUUAAUAGAAUGGAUUUGUGGCAAAAGAUGAUGUUUCCUCUUCGAACACUCUGGUUCGCUCUUUCCUCUCACCUCAAGCCUCCCAAAAAUGCUGCUGGACUUUUGAAGCUUCACAAUGAUGUCGAGAGCUGUGGCUAUGAGGAUGUUCGUGUGAUGUGGGAAAUGUUGCGAGAGACAGAGCAGGUAUCUAACCAUACAAAGCGCAAGCAACGGCCUUUCUGGAGACUCUAACCACAAUGCUGCACCAUCCUUCUUCUUUAUAUGAUUUCCGCUACUAAUAAGUAAUCACGUGUCCUGCGCAUAAACCAUACUUCAUCACUUUACUACCCAACGGCCUGCUUUGCAGUAGCAUGGUUCAGAGCUGUUGCCGAGUGUAUCCAAAUUAGUGCAAUAUGUCAACAAAGUUUUUACCUUUCCUCUCAAAUCACACACUCUUCUGUAAAUACAUAUUAUAUUGUCAUAACACACAAUCAAAUCUUACUACAA